GUAGAUGGUAGUAGAGGUAGAUGGUAGUAGAGGUAGAUGGUAGUAGAGGUAGAUGGUAGUAGAGGUAGAUGGUAGUAGAGGUAGAUGGUAGUAGAGGGUAGAUGGUAGUAGAGGGUAGAUGGUAGUAGAGGGUAGAUGGUAGUAGAGGUAGAUGGUAGUAGAGUAGAGGUAGAUGGUAGUAGAGGUAGAUGGUAGUAGAGGUAGAUGGUAGUAGAGGUAGAUGGUAGUAGAGGUAGAUGGUAGUAGAGGUAGAUGGUAU
ensembl:lncRNA